AUUGAACGCUGGCGGCAUGCCUUACACAUGCAAGUCGAACGGCAGCACGGGAGCAAUCCUGGUGGCGAGUGGCGAACGGGUGAGUAAUGUAUCGGAACGUGCCCAGUCGUGGGGGAUAACGUAGCGAAAGCUACGCUAAUACCGCAUACGAUCUAUGGAUGAAAGCGGGGGAACGCAAGAACUCGCGCGAUUGGAGCGGCGGAUAUCAGAUUAGGUAGUUGGUGGGGUAAAGGCUCACCAAGCCGACGAUCUGUAGCUGGUCUGAGAGGACGACCAGCCACACUGGGACUGAGACACGGCCCAGACUCCUACGGGAGGCAGCAGUGGGGAAUUUUGGACAAUGGGCGCAAGCCUGAUCCAGCAAUGCCGCGUGCAGGAUGAAGGCCUUCGGGUUGUAAACUGCUUUUGUACGGAACGAAACGGUGAGCUCUAAUACAGUUUGCUAAUGACGGUACCGUAAGAAUAAGCACCGGCUAACUACGUGCCAGCCGCCGCCGUAA
rnacentral:rRNA from 1 species